rnacentral:lncRNA from 1 species
CUCACCUAGUCUGGCAAGGAAAAAAACGCAACACGGUCGAACUUGACAUGUAACUGUCAGUAUUUCCAUUGUAUCCCUGUUUGCCAGGUUCUCCACAUCACUUAGAAUGACCUGGUCCUACACAGUCUAGUUCCUGCUCCCUCUCUGACAUGCAUCCUAGCAUACCAAAUCCUUUCUUCUGCCUUGAACUUGCCACUUCAGUUCUGUUCUCUCCACUCCAAAUGUUCUUUCUCUCCCUACAGAUGUCCAUGUACCUUGUUUCUUUCCCUCCCCCACCUGGUCUCUAUAGAAAUAGUACUUCCUCAGAGACUCUAACUUCCUUAACAGCACACUUCCCCACUCAGUUAUCUGUCUCCUUGCUCUGCUGUGUUUCCCUUUGAGAGACUUAUAACUAACUAACUUGCUUUCUUUCUAUUUAUUUGUUGUCUGUCUCUUCACUUCUUACCUGAAGUAUAAACUCCAGAGACGUGUGACUUGAUUUGUCUUAUUAUAAUAUCCAAGAAGUCUAAUAGUGUCCUACACAUAAUAAAUGCUCAAUUAAAAACAUGUAUUUAUUCCUGAUUCAGACUGAGCCUAAAAUUCUUUCUGAUUGUGCCUUUGCUGAUAUGCAGUCAUCUA